AUGAUUUUUAAUUUCAUUUGUCCACUACUUUUUUCAUUCAAAUUAUUUCAUCAUCUGCUCAGAGCAGGAGGGGUAUUAUUUACUACAGAGCUAACUCCCUUCUGGUUGCAGAUGAUGAUUAGAUUGGUGCUACAAAGUCAGAUUUCUCCAGCCUACAAAUGUAGAUUUUGAGAUGGCAAUGCAUUACUGAAUCACCCUCCAAUGUCAUACAUUCAUGUACAAGCAAUUUAACCCCCAUGAUUUGCUAAUCCUGCAUCUGCAGUUUCUACACAUAUAGUGUCUUUACAAAUACCUGUAAAUCACUUAACCAUUGAUUUCAGUGUAUACAUCUUCUCUAGUAGAAGUACAGUACCUUUUUAAAUCAUACUACAUUAUUAAGUCAGUGCCUGAGAUACAUUUUACCUGAAAUUGUAAGAGGCACAAUGUAUCUUGCAGGCUACGUGACAUUUGCUCCAAGCUUUAUUUUAUCAAAUAUUUUGGAUUAGGAUUUGAUCCAAGUUAGGAAUUUUGGUAAGGUUAUGAUUUGAAAGCAGAGCAAUUGUCUUCAGAGGGUGUGUCAUACACUUAUCCCUCAAAGUCCUUCUACAUCAUAUACAUAUAAGAAAGCACAUUGAUAACCUUUCAGGUAGUAUGUGAAGCUGUGAAGUGAUUCAUUUAUGCAAAACAUAUUGAAAAGUUACGUAAGCCCGUUGAAACAUCCAGCAUCCCACAGUGAGAGACCCAAUUAGUCAUGACGGUGAUGAAAAAAUACGCUGACAUGGCAUGGUUACAAUUAUGCCUCCAUGAAUCAGUGGUUGAUGCAAGGACUUUUCAUUUCGAGAAGAGAAAAUCGAAAAAGACAUCGUGUUUGUAGGUGAAACAUCCUGCUUUGAGAGUGACCAUUGGUGGCCGGGGUGAAGUGGAAAACAUUGUCAUCAUUUAUCAUCUGGUUGUAUCAUUGCAUGGAUCAUGCUAAUUGUUGGCGGUUAUAUUGUGGUUUGCAUUAGUAAGCAUAUAUAGUAUACUCUCCUCCAGCAAGCCAAGAAAACAGUGUUUGUUCAGUGAUGAUGAUUAUGAUGAUAUUAUGAUGAUGAUAAUGAUAAUGAAUAACAUCUGUAUGGCACCUUAACAGGAAACUGGGGGAAGUUCAUUCCAUGCCAAAUAUCUUGUCCCUCAAAGUAGCAAUUUUCAUAUUGGUAUCAUCCAACGGCAGUUCUUAAAAAUUGAAAUUUAUUUUAAAGUUCCCUGUUUUUUAUCCAGAGGCCUAAAUUUUGCUAAAAUCUAGAACAUCUCACUCUGUAGGAGACACAUUUGAGAUGAGAAGUGUCAUUUGGAAUGAGCAGUGUCACGUUAAUGUAAGAUCACCCAAUAGCAUCAGAUCCAUCCAGAUGAGUUCAAAGUAUAUCAUAUUUCACCAAUGAUUUCCUUAGAUUUUAACAAUAUUUUUCCAGGGGAGAGUAAUAUAAAGUCCUCUUGUUAUUCACUUGAAAUAUGACACAAGAUCCUUUAUUCCUUAGGGUACAUUUUCCAAAUUUGAUAAAUGCCUUGCCAAAACAAAAUGUCCUUCCUAUAUUUGCAACUCACCUGACGAUUCAUUUUACUUGGUUGCUCAUCACUCCCGAGUGGGUUUUCUUGAAUUGUCUUAUUGAAAACCAGAGACAUAUCCCAGUAAAUCUUUUUAAGCAUCACAAUACAUACCAGAUGGUACCUGAAGGAUGGUACAGUGCAAAAUUAUACAUGAUUGUAAUUAGUGAGUUAGUGACAUGGAGCAAUGUUUUUCUUCCAAGCACUUUCCAUCUUCAGUUGAAGGAACUCUUUUCAUCUCCUCCCAUGAAUCAUUAUGUUUCAUGCCAACGUCCGUCCCACUCUCACAACCUCCAACAGACCAUCUCAAUUAUCCCUCCUCUUUGUGAGUAAUUCAAUCAAGGGACCGACCAAUCAUCAAAGUUUCUGGAACUCCUACAAGAUAACAGAAGGAUGUCUUAAGCAAAAAUUGGUAGAAAUUGCUUGCAAUAACCACUGAAGGCUAUUGCAUCAAGAAAUAUGAUUCAUAUGUGUUUGUAGUUGAUGAUUCUUUGGUUGAGAGGUCUAACUGUUUGUUGGUUCAGUGAAUGCUUUUCUCUUCAGGGUGGUCCAGGAGACAGCUAGCUAAUGAUGGCUUGUCUCGAAGAACAAUGUAACGGCUCCUUCCCAUAUGUUACAUAGGAAGUGUCUGUAUGAGAAGGAAGUAUUCAUUACCUCCAGAGUGCAUACAUACUUCAAUCAGCAUAUGGGAUUAUUUAAAGUAAACAAUGAACAAAAUGAUUCCCUCAGAUAUUAUGUUUCUACCUUUGUUGUUUGUAGCUCUUCAAAGAGCUGAAUGUGUAAGUAAAGAAGACCCUUUUUUCUAUAUUUUGCUUCUUCUUUAUCUUUCAACUCAGCAGUAGACAAGCCACAUUUAUCUGCAGCAUGGCAGGCACUUUGCAUUUUUAUUAUUUUGCAGGCUUUCCAAAUUUAUUUUGCAUGAGAUGCAUUAUAUGAAUGCUUUAUUCCCUGCAUCUAUUCAAAGUAGUAUAGUAAAUAUAUUUUUUGUGCAUUUUUAAUGAUUGUGCUCUUUUAAUGUUAAUGUUUACUUAAUUGAUAAAUUUAUUGAUAUCAAGGCACAUUAGCACAGAAAUUUAUGAAGUCAGCAAACUUGUAGACGAAGGUACAUUGUAUACAUGGACAGUUGUAUUCCAGUCAUCUUCUAUCCGAUCCUGUCACGGUGUACCAAGACUUCUUUUUUUUUUCAUUGUCAUGCUUGCAUGCGUAAAGGUCUUUGACUCCUACAAUAAUCAUUUUAAUGAAAAAGAAUAAUUCCUAUCAUGAGUAAAAGGUUGUGAUUGAUGCUUUAUUAUAUAGUGUUUAGAAAGAUUCCUUGGUUGACAGCCAAGUAAUGAAGGAAAGCACAUUGAUUGGUGAAAGCCAACAGACGGUGUUGAUAGAGUCUUGGUUAUAGGGGCUGAUGGGAAGUGGAUCGACGGAGUAGCCCAGCUAGCUUUCCUGCCUGCAUGCAUGGUUCAGCAGCGUCUGGUUGAGCUAGGAGCAAACCCCAUGAGCUCAGUGGCGGUACAAUGACCGGGAUGCGGACGUGUGUCAGGAAUACAUGCAUCAGCUAUCUCUCUAGCUCUGUUCUUAUUGUGCAAUAGUUGCAUUUUUGUUAUGGACCUGCAGUAGAAGCAGUACUCAGAGUGAGAUGGAGAGGGGGAGAGAAAAAGAGAGAGUGAGAGGGAGAGAAAGAGAGAUACUGGCGGGUUUGAGUUAUAGAGGAGGAAAUAUAGGAAAUAGGAAAAUCAAAGAUGAGCAGAGAUAAUUUGAAACAAGAGUAAGAUUCAGAAAGACCAAGGCAGAUAAUAUAGAGAAAUUGCAUACGGUAGGCCUUUUAGGGAGGAGAAUAGCAAUUGUAAAAAGGCAAACGUUCGAAAAAUUGAGAAGGGUGGAAAUUAUUACAGAAAUUAGUAAAUGGCAACUAUAUGGUAAGAAGUAGAAAGAGGUGAUAUUUGGCCAAAGAGAAAAGAAUGAAAGCUUUGUAAUUUUAAGCCAGAUAACUGAUACUUUAUUGAGGGCCAAUUAGUAUAGGUGUACAAGGUGUACCGUAGGGGGUUCAAGCAUUGAAUUCAGUGAAGCAUACUUAAAGAGGCGGAAAUGCAUGCUUUUCAAGAAGCCAUCCUUAUCAUAGGUGUAUCAAUACCACGAUAUUAGAAAGUGCAGUUUUACCUGGGCACAAAGCAGGAAAAAUGCCUGUUCAUUCUCCCUAAUUCCACCCCAAAAUAACAUUCAUGGAAAAAUUGGCUGUAUAAUACUAUUUCCCAUAUGAGGGCGGGAGCAACAUGUGCAGUCAUGAUCAAGGAUUUGGAAGAACAGUAGCAAGUGUCGGGAGACAUCAGACCAUGGAGGAUGUGGCCUAAAGUUAA